GUGGGGAAUAUUGGACAAUGGGGGGAACCCUGAUCCAGCCAUGCCGCGUGUGUGAAGAAGGCCUUUUGGUUGUAAAGCACUUUAAGCGAGGAGGAGGCUCCCAGUAUUAAUACUACUGGAGAGUGGACGUUACUCGCAGAAUAAGCACCGGCUAACUCUGUGCCAGCAGCCGCGGUAAUACAGAGGGUGCAAGCGUUAAUCGGAUUUACUGGGCGUAAAGCGUGCGUAGGUGGCCAAUUAAGUCAAAUGUGAAAUCCCCGAGCUUAACUUGGGAAUUGCAUUCGAUACUGGUUGGCUAGAGUAUGGGAGAGGAUGGUAGAAUUCCAGGUGUAGCGGUGAAAUGCGUAGAGAUCUGGAGGAAUACCGAUGGCGAAGGCAGCCAUCUGGCCUAAUACUGACACUGAGGUACGAAAGCAUGGGGAGCAAACAGGAUUAGAUACCCUGGUAGUCCAUGCCGUAAACGAUGUCUACUAGCCGUUGGGGUCUUUGAGACUUUAGUGGCGCAGCUAAC
rnacentral:rRNA from 1 species